GUUAAGGUGUCGGGGACAACUUCAUCCGUACCCGAUCGGGGGAAGCCGGUGUAAAUCCGGCGCUGACCCGCAACCGUGAGCACGCGCCGCGCAUCGCGGCCGGACGAGCCGGAGCACCCGGUGGGGAACGGCCAAGGCU
rnacentral:ncRNA from 2 species